rnacentral:rRNA from 1 species
UAUGUGAUCGUCUCUCGCAUAUCAAUAAGCGGAGGAAAAGAAACUAACAAGGAUUCCCCUAGUAACGGCGAGUGAAGCGGGAAGAGCUCAAAUUUGAAAUCUUAAAGGGUUUCCCUUUACGAAUUGUAGUUUAAAGAAGUGUUUUCUGUUGAGGUUUUGGUAAAAGUUCUUUGGAAUAGGACAUCAUAGAGGGUGAGAAUCCCGUAUUCGACCUUUACUUUCAACUUUGUGAUACACUUUCAAAGAGUCGGAUUGUUUGGGAAUGCAGUCCAAAAUGGGUGGUAAAUUUCAUCUAAAGCUAAAUAUUGGCGAGAGACCGAUAGCGAACAAGUACCGUGAGGGAAAGAUGAAAAGAACUUUGAAAAGAGAGUUAAACAGUACGUGAAAUUGUCAAAAGGGAAGCGUUUGACACCAGUGUUGUUUUUCUGAAAAUCAAUUAAAGAACUGUUUAUGCUAAGUUGUUUAGACUUUAUCAGCUAUCUGUUUAGUUUUGAGCUUUUCUUUAAUGCACUUUUCAGUUAACAAGUCAACAUCAAUUUCUUUUGCUGUAAAAAAGCUUGAGGAAGGUGGCUUGAGAUUCGUCUUAAGUGUUUAUAGCCUCUUGCCUAUGCAGUCGGAGAGAUUGAGGCCUGCAGCGUAGAUCCUUCGGGGCUAAAUGCAUUUGUGCUAAGUUAUAACAUUUUAUAGACAACUUGUUGACUAUGAUUUGUCUUGUAGCUUACUCGCUUAUGUUAUUUUACCUACGCUUAGGAUGUUGAAGUCAUCGUAUCGCGC